ensembl:antisense
CUGGAUUGAUCUGAAGACAUAAUAUACAAUACACAAGAGAAUGUUGGAAGUAUGAUGCUUACACAACGUUGAACUGAACUCAGAUGAGUGCGUUUCUCUUCUAGUUUACUAAAUAAAACAAAAAUCACGUAAGCCUAAUCUAUCCCCAUCAUGAUAAACUAGUUAGGAAAAAAAAUCUCGUGGUGGGUUUUACAAAGACGAACACAAACUCAAAACUGCAUGCGUUAAUCCCCCCCAUGACACUGCUAGGCAACAGUUUAUAUAGAAAACAAGUCUAUUGAGUAUGCAUUUAGACAACAAAUCGCCAGUGUUGAACAAAAUUUAAAAACGAAUCGGCUGCGAACAAAUCGUUUCUUUAAAAAGAAAGAAAGAAAAGCGGGGCCAUCUUGCUGCAUGCCCUAAAAUUGGGAAAUAAAUGACAUAUAGAGAUAUAUAGAAUAAUAAUAAUAAUAAUAGAACAUGUCCUACAACUAAAGCUGGUCGAGCAAGUCAGGUUUCUGGGAAGAGAUCUUCUUCCUACCUGUUAAGAAUUGAGGUCUUUUAGGUAUGCUUUCACAGUGUCCGCCAUCUCUUGCAUGGCCGGGUGAAUGAGCCCAAUGUGGAAACCGAGAGAACCUGGGGGAGGGGAGCAGCUGCAGAGUCUUUCCCAACCUGCUUUAGUAGCCUCCAUAACCACCCCUGCCGUAACCAGGCCCACCGCCACCACCACGGGGGUAGGGGGCUCCGCUCCUGCCGCCGUAUGUGUUUCCACCUUUCAUGGGACCGUAGCCGGACGACUGCUGGCCGUAUCCGCUGCCAAAGUCACUGUAACCGUUUCCACCGCCAUAGCCCCCCAUCUGCUCACCGUAGCCUCCUCCGUAUCCACCUCCGUAACCGCCACCGUAGCCUCCACUUCCAUAGCUACCGCCGUAGCCGCCAUCGUUUCCGCCGUAUCCUCCGCCAUAGCCGCCCCCGUAGCCGCCGUAGCCUCCUCCUCUACCGCCGCCGAAGCCAUUUUGAUUGCGGCCCAUGCCUCUUCCUCCGCCUCUCCCUCUGCCGCCGCGGGCUCCACCGGCAGCCUGGAUCUCUUGUUUCGUGAGCGCUUUCUUCACCUCCACCUUGUGUCCGUUGAUCAUGUGGAACUUGAGCACGACGGCUUUGUCCGCAGAGUCGUUGUCUUCGAAGUGGACAAAGCCGAAACCACGCUUCUUGCCGGUGUCUUUGUCGGUGAUGACUUCGGAUUUCUCGAUCAUGCCGAACUGCGAGAAAAAUUCGGUGAGGUCUUUUUCCUCGAUGUCAUCUUUUAAGCCACCGACGAAUAUUUUCUUGACUUUGGCGAGAGCUUCGGGCCUUCCGGCGUCUUCACGAGCCACGGCUCUCUUCACCUCCACGUUUUUACCGUCUACAACAUGUGGCCUGGCGGCCAUUGCUGCAUCAGCCUCCUCCGAGGUGGAGUACGUAACGAAGCCGAAACAACGGGAUCGUUGAAGCUGAUCGUUCUGGACCACCACGCAGUCCGUCAGGUUCCCAAACUGCUCAAAAUAAGAGCGGAGACCAUCAUUAGUCGUUUGGACGUUUAGACCGCCAACGAAGAGUUUGCACAGCUUCUCCAUUUCAGACAUUAGUUUGCCGUUAGUGACCGCCGUAAGACUCGACUGCUGCUAAGAAAGAGCCUUUUUUAAAAUGACUGUCGUCAUGACGCAAUGUUCUCUCUCGCCGUAAGACACACCCCAUUCACAGGAAAAAAGGCGGGAUUUGAGGAAUGGUGCUAAAAUUCCACUGAUAGAAAUUUCUAGUUUACAAAUGACUACACUAAAACAAGUCAUGGAUUGAAGUAAACAUGACAAUUUGACGUAGAAACACUGAAAUAAAAUAUUUGCUUAUGAAACAUAA